rnacentral:misc_RNA from 1 species
AACAAGGCGUACCUGCGGACCUGCGGAAGGAUCAUUACAGAGUUCGUGCCCUCGCGGGUAGAUCUCCCACCCUUGUGUAUUCUCUACAUCUUGUUGCUUUGGCAGGCCGUUGGUUCGCCAACCACCGGCUCGCGGGCUGGUGCGUGCCUGCCAGAGGACCUCUCAAACUCGGUUUGUUAGUGUCGUCUGAGUACCAUAACAAUCGUUAAAACUUUUAGCAACGGAUCUCAGAUCGGAAGA